rnacentral:pre_miRNA from 1 species
AAUAAAUCAAUCUUUCAUCUUUUACCUAUAAUGUUUGACUCUUCGUCUUAUUUAAAAAAAAUAUGAUUAAUAUUUUUAUUAGAUGAUAAAUCAUGAAUAGUAUUUUACGUGUGACUAUCUUUUUUAAUUUCUUCAAAAACUUUUAAAUAAGAUGGAUGGUCAAACACUGGACACGAAAACCUAAAGAUUGUCUUAUU